CGCAGCCGCGGUAAUUCCAGCUCCAAUAGCGUAUAUUAAAGUUGUUGCAGUUAAAAAGCUCGUAGUUGAAUUUCGGGGUCAAUAAGUUGGUCAUGCCAAUGGUAUGCACUGGCUUUAUUGAUUCCUACCUCUUGACGAACUGUGAUGCCAUUAAUUUGGUGUUGCAAGGAAUCAGGACUGUUACCUUGAAAAAAUUGAGUGUUUAAAGCAAGCUUACGCUUGAAUACAUUAGCAUGGAAUAAUGAAAUAGGACGUUUGAUCCUAUUUUGUUGGUUUCUAGGAUCGACGUAAUGAUUAAUAGGGAUAGUUGGGGGCAUUAGUAUUCAAUUGUCAGAGGUGAAAUUCUUGGAUUUAUUGAAGACUAACUACUGCGAAAGCAUUUGCCAGGGAUGUUUUCAUUAAUCAAGGACGAAAGUUAGGGGAUCGAAGACGAUCAGAUACCGUCGUAGUCUUAACCAUAAACUAUGCCGACUAGGGAUCGGAUGAUGUUA
rnacentral:rRNA from 1 species